rnacentral:lncRNA from 1 species
GAUAUCAAGAGAAAGGGUUAAUCUCAAAACAGUUGUGCCACCAGGGUGGGAGGCAGGGCAUCCUGGAGUUACAAAAUCACCAUCAUCUUUCCCAGUAGUCAUGUAGCAUAUGCCUUCUAAUAGGGUGAAGAAAAGUUAUGACAAGGUAGGAUAGAGUCCUGUUGAUGUCCUCAUCUUAUGUGAAACAAAUUCUAAAUGACUGCUCUACUCAAAAUAGAAAUAUACCUUUGCACAUGCUGAAAUCAAUAGUAUGUAUGAAUAUCAAAAAGUGAAAUAGUGUAAGGGGAAUGAAUAUAGUAAAAGACCAAUUGGUAGGCAAAGGGCAGUACUCUGACAUACAAGAACAAAAGCAAUUCAGUUCUGUUACUAUAGAACAAUGUUGCUUAGUGGAUUUAAGUCCUUUGGACAAAUGAUAUAAGAUAAUGAUUUAAGAAUGAUAUAAGAUCCACCUCAUUCACUGAAUUUCUUUUUUUCAAAACAAAUAUUAGUCUCAGCUGUAAAGAAGGCCCUAUCAGAUCCUGAUGUAAGACAGGUGUUGAUAGAGACCUUGGCAGAGGAAAAUGCAAAUACAGAAUGUAAAGAAGGUAUUACACCAUCAAAGACUUGGAAAGCACACAUGGAUGAGUGGAUAAAGUAUGAAACCAAUAUUGGUUCUAACUUGUAUCAUGUUCAUAGCAUAGAUAAAACUAUAGCUAGAAGUCUCUAAUAUCAAAAUGCAUCAAUUGCAUGAAAUACACUCAUUUGAAGAGAUGGGUACCAAGCCAUUAAAGAUCUCAGAUUACAAAAUGGCAGUGUGUUAAAUGCAAAAAAUAUGGUACUUGGCACAGAAUAAGUAAACAAGGCAUCUUUAAAGGUAAUGGUUUUUCUAAAUAUACACUAGAAGAAACAGCCUAGUCAUGGAAGUAUGUACAGGGAAGGUGGCAGGGGUUUACAUUGGACCAAUGCAAGCUUCUGCAGGCUGUGCUGCUCUAUACCUGGCCAUAGAUAAACAUCUUACUGUACCCACCAAAACUCAAUGUUAUAAAAUAUAUACUGGAGUUUAUGGUCUUUUGCCUGCCAGGACAGUAGGAAUGAUCUUGGAAAUGUGCAGAUUGACUCCUCAAGGAUUCAUUGUUCAUCCAAAAAUUAAAGAUGAAGAUUUCAAAAGAGAAAUUAAAAUUAUAGCCUAUGUGAAAACAGAGAUGGCAUUUAAUGCAGGUGGUAGGAAUUGCUGAGCUUCUACUGUUUCCCUACAUCAAAGCCAAAAUGGGUCAAGUAAAAACAGGAGGGUUGAAGUACUAGAAAACAUGUUCUGGGAAACAGUUGUUAAUGAUCAGAGGCCAAAAUUAAAAUUGCAAGUAAAUGGUAUUGAAAUAGUAGGUUUGGUGGAUACAGGAAUGUAGGGCGCCCUCCAGUGGUGAACAACGGUACUGCGCAUGCACAGGUUUUGCACUUGGUGUCAGUUGGCCAGUAAUAUGCUAAUGAGGGGCGGUACCAUGCUAGUGAGGUGAUUCAUUCCCCGCCAAUCCCCGGAGGACAAGUAGUGGGGUGAUAGUGGGAUGACAGUGGGGUGAUAGUAGGGUGACCCGUGCCCCACCAAUCCCUGAAGGAUUAUUAGCAUACUGUUGUGUAUAUAAGGCGAGCACUUUUGACGCUCGACGUCCCCUGUCCCCUGUACAAUAAAGGCUUGUUCGCAGAAGAA